rnacentral:lncRNA from 1 species
CGAGAAUUUAGCGAAUCUCAACCUCUUUUAUUGUUGAGUAUCAUUGGUCUAGGGUUGAUUACCACACUCACCGUGUGGUAAUUGGAACCUCUUUUACAUUUCCCAUAUAUACAAGAAGCCUUGUCACACAUUUGAGAUCAUUGGUUGCUGCAUGGAAACCUUUCAUGCACAACAAAAUGAUGUAUCAAGUUGCCAGUCAAGUAGUCUUUGUACAACACAAAAAUAUAAUAACGACAUAAUGGGUCCAAAUUGGAAAACGAUGAUGCACAUGCUCCUGGAUUACUAACAAAUUACCACUGCAUCAAGGAGCAUUCUUAUUACAGGGAGGAAUAAGUCGCCAGGAAUCGAAGACAUAGGCGAGGGGUCCGGUGUGACGGUAUAGAAGGCGUGCAUGUACUAGUCCUCUUAUCAUGCUCUAAUGAGUGAGAGAGCUAGAGAAUCCCUUAUAUGUUGGUCUCAUUUCUCCUCCACUCUACAUGUGAUACUACAAUGUGCUGAUCGAUGCCAGGCAUCCAUUAAUGCAUAUAUUUGACUUUUGAGGAAUGAAAAAUUAAAUGGGCCAAAACCCCAUAUACUUUCAACAAUGACAAGGACGUCUGACGCAAGCGGGGCAGUUGGGGUUUCUACCGGCUGCAAGAACAAUUUAUGAGAUGAAAAUUUUCCAUUGACAAUUCUGGAAGCAUAUUGUACGUACCACAUUACUAUAGCCAUGACGAACCAAAUUCUAACUACUGCUUCAAGUAGAGCAAGCAUUUCGAAAACAAACUAAACAAUGAUUCAAGAUAGAGGGAAGCUAUAAUUAGUCUUUAAUUAUUUCUCAUUGCCAAUUUUUCAUCUGACUAGCCAUAUAUUUUACAUAUUGCUUGUGGGUUUACCAAAAGCUAGCAGGGGAGAUUUUCGUCAAGAAUCAUCUUUGUUGGGAGCACCACGAGCUUAACAGCCGUUUAAUCCUCCAAUCAAUAUGACUAACAUUUUAAUAAUUCAUGAGGAAGCGAACUUGUAAUUGUAACUACUAUUACUUUUAUUGAUAUAUCUUUCUUUUUGCAGAUACUUUUAUUGAUGUAUCAAUAUAAUUGGCAAACCCUUUUUAAUUUUUUGCCAACUUCGAUAUAAAUAAAAUAUAUAUCUAGAACACAAUGGUAUGGUAGAUUAAGGAUGAAAAUAUAUCCCUACGUAAGCAUUUGCAAAUUCGGUGGUUUAUUUAUUACAGUUUAAACCUAAACUGUUUUAACGAUCAAAAUUCUGUGUCUCCAUGUAAGAGACGAACAUUUGUCUAGUGAGUUAACUGAUACUAGCUAUUUUUUUUAAUAAAUCUGCGGUCGGAUCUGCAUGAUUGAAAAGCCAGAGCAUGUACCGUUUAUCUGUAUCGCACUCGGACCUGCCAGCCCUCCAGAUGGCAUCGUAAUGAGCAGAACGAUCUCCAGUAUAACGAGCAGAAGAACCAUGUUCAUGUGGCACCUCCAAGCCAUGGUAAGUAAAAUGAAGGCUGCUGUACACACCACUCUCUUUCUCUUUCUCUUUCUCUUUCUUUUUGUUGUGUUGUAACCCUGCUGCUUCGUUUCUCUCUAUAUAAAGGAUUUGUCACCCUCUUGAUUGAAC